rnacentral:rRNA from 1 species
GACGAACGCUGGCGGCGUGCUUAACACAUGCAAGUCGAGCGGUGAACCUCCUUCGGGAGGGGAUCAGCGGCGAACGGGUGAGUAACACGUGGGCAACCUGCCCUCAGCUCUGGGAUAACUCCGGGAAACCGGGGCUAAUACCGGAUAUGACUUCAGAAGACAUCUUCUGUAGUGGAAAGAUUUAUCGGCUGAGGAUGGGCCCGCGGCCUAUCAGCUUGUUGGUGGGGUAGUGGCCCACCAAGGCGACGACGGGUAGCCGGCCUGAGAGGGCGACCGGCCACACUGGGACUGAGACACGGCCCAGACUCCUACGGGAGGCAGCAGUGGGGAAUAUUGCGCAAUGGGCGAAAGCCUGACGCAGCGACGCCGCGUGAGGGAUGACGGCCUCGG